rnacentral:rRNA from 1 species
AUUGAACGCUGGCGGCAGGCCUAACACAUGCAAGUCGAGCGGAUGAGAGGAGCUUGCUCCUUGAUUUAGCGGCGGACGGGUGAGUAAUGCCUAGGAAUCUGCCUAGUGGUGGGGGACAACGUUCCGAAAGGAACGCUAACACCGCAUACGUCCUACGGGAGAAAGCGGGGGAUCUUCGGACCUCGCGCCAUUAGAUGAGCCUAGGUCGGAUUAGCUAGUUGGUGAGGUAAAGGCUCACCAAGGCGACGAUCCGUAACUGGUCUGAGAGGAUGAUCAGUCACACUGGAACUGAGACACGGUCCAGACUCCUACGGGAGGCAGCAGUGGGGAAUAUUGGACAAUGGGCGAAAGCCUGAUCCAGCCAUGCCGCGUGUGUGAAGAAGGUCUUCGGAUUGUAAAGCACUUUAAGUUGGGUAGGAAGGGUAUUCACCUAAUACGUGAGUAUUUUGACGUUACCGACAGAAUAAGCACCGGCUAACUUCGUGCCAGCAGCCGAC